GGGCUCGUAGCUCAGCUUGGUGGAGCGACUGGCUCUUAACCAGUAGGUCGGGGGUUCAAAUCCCUCCGGGCCCA
rnacentral:tRNA from 1 species